UUUCAGUGAGUAUAUAUAUACUUGACAAAGCUUCUCAAAAGAAAAAGCUUCAGCAGAAGUGAUCCUGGUUCUUAAAUUCUUCAACUAGUUUCUAUAUUUUCUGCAAGUUCACCUUAAUUUCUCUUGAAUAUACCUCAUCAUCAAAAAUACUUGAGAUAUGUCCCAUGUGGUUCUAUAAAUUACCUUUUCUAAGAGAAUGGCAAUUUGAGCGAGCUAGCAAUUUCCUGCAAUAUGAUCUGCAUGCCAACAACAUAACACUGUACAAAGGUAUGCGUCUAUCUUCUGUUUAAUUAAUUCUUGUUAUUAAUGUAAUUGAUUAUUCUGCCAUCUAAUUAAUUAUAGUGUUCUUUUACAUGGCCAAGUUAUAAUAAUUCUACUUUCUCAUGCAGUGGCAUACAACCAUAUAUCAACCAUGAUUUUACAAAGGAGAUAGAUCUAUACAUCUAUUGUUCUGGCUGUUAAAUAUUAAUGUGUGCAUCAAAGCAUGCACACAAGCCCAAAUAUUUGCAUGGAUGUAGCAAUUACAAAAAAGAUCCAUCGUUUGAAUGCAUUUGGGUUGAGGAUCAUGAACCUAAACACAGAGAUUGCCUUCAUUGACGGUGUAUACACCCAAAUUUUUGGUUUUUUUUUUCAUGCGAUGCUGAGAUAGGAGUUGAGUGAGUGAGUGAGUGAGAGAAAGAAUGGUGAAGCAAGUAAAAUUUUAAUUGAUGGUUGCGCACUGCUUUUGCGACAAGUUCCAACAAUUGUUGAUGGAAGGUUUACGAUGUUUGAGAGGUAUUCUGCUGAUCUUUCUAUCAGAGCUAAAGUUGAUGCAAUCUUAGAUUGGCACCAUUCGAACCUAAGGCUUGGAG